rnacentral:rRNA from 1 species
ACGCUAGCUACAGGCUUAACACAUGCAAGUCGAGGGGAAACGGCAUUAAGUGCUUGCACUUUUUGGACGUCGACCGGCGCACGGGUGAGUAACGCGUAUCCAACCUUCCCAUGACUAAGGGAUAACCUGCCGAAAGGCAGACUAAUACCUUAUGGUCUUCACUGACGGCAUCAGAUGUGAAGUAAAGAUUUAUCGGUUAUGGAUGGGGAUGCGUCUGAUUAGCUUGUUGGCGGGGUAACGGCCCACCAAGGCAACGAUCAGUAGGGGUUCUGAGAGGAAGGUCCCCCACAUUGGAACUGAGACACGGUCCAAACUCCUACGGGAGGCAGCAGUGAGGAAUAUUGGUCAAUGGGCGAGAGCCUGAACCAGCCAAGUAGCGUGCAGGAUGGCGGCCCUAUGGGUUGUAAACUGCUUUUGUAUGGGGAUAAAGUCAAUCACGUGUGAUUGUUUGCAGGUACCAUACGAAUAAGGACCGGCUAAUUCCGUGCCAGCAGCCGCGGUAAUACGGAAGGUCCGGGCGUUAUCCGGAUUAUUGGGUUUAAAGGGAGCGUAGGCUGGAGAUUAAGUGUGUUGUGAAAUGUAGACGCUCAACGUCUGACUUGCAGCGCAUACUGGUUUCCUUGAGUACGCACAACGUUGGCGGAAUUCGUCGUGUAGCGGUGAAAUGCUUAGAUAUGACGAAGAACUCCGAUUGCGAAGGCAGCUGACGGGAGCGCAACUGACGCUGAAGCUCGAAGGUGCGGGUAUCGAACAGGAUUAGAUACCCUGGUAGUCCGCACAGUAAACGAUGGAUGCCCGCUGUUGGUACUUGGUAUCAGCGGCUAAGCGAAAGCAUUAAGCAUCCCACCUGGGGAGUACGCCGGCAACGGUGAAACUCAAAGGAAUUGACGGGGGCCCGCACAAGCGGAGGAACAUGUGGUUUAAUUC